rnacentral:rRNA from 1 species
GAUGAACGCUGGCGGCGUGCCUAAUACAUGCAAGUCGAGCGAACGGACGAGAAGCUUGCUUUUCUGAUGUUAGCGGCGGACGGGUGGGUAACACGUGGAUAACCUACCUAUAAGACUGGGAUAACUUCGGGAAACCGGAGCUAAUACCGGAUAAUAUUUUGAACCGCAUGGUUCAAAAGUGAAAGACGGCCUUGCUGUCACUUAUAGAUGGAUCCGCGCUGCAUUAGCUAGUUGGUAAGGUAACGGCUUACCAAGGCAACGAUGCAUAGCCGACCUGAGAGGGUGAUCGGCCACACUGGAACUGAGACACGGUCCAGACUCCUACGGGAGGCAGCAGUAGGGAAUCUUCCGCAAAGGGCGAAAGCCUGACGGAGCAACGCCGCGUGAGUGAUGAAGGUCUUCGGAUCGUAAAACUCUGUUAUUAGGGAAGAACAUAUGUGUAAGUAACUGUGCACAUCUUGACGGUACCUAAUCAGAAAGCCACGGCUAACUACGUG